rnacentral:lncRNA from 1 species
GCUGUAAUGGAACAGAGAGAGAUGAGAGUGGAAACAGGAAUCCUUCUGCACCGUGUGGGAAGGUGAGCUUGACAAUGGCACUGAGGAAUUUAACGAGUCGGAUGCAGAGCCAAGAGGCCACACUGGGUGGAGUGCUAAGUAUACAAACCCAACCUGUGGCUGAAUGCCUUGCCUGACCUGCAGAAUGCUCCCAGACCCAUCCCCAGCUCUGUGCAGAAGGGCCUCUAUCAACAGGCAAGCAAGGAAUGAAGCAGAGCACUUGGCAGUGCUGGGCUGCCUGGGCAGGCACCAACCUCUGCAGCAUACAGCAAUUAAACGAGAGCUGCUUUCAACCAGCAGUGUGGUUACCUCAGCAUACUUGGCGUGAGAAGGAAAUGAAGCUGAAGGCAUUUGGAGUCUUUCUCCCUCUGCUGUUUUUUCCAUCAGAGGACUUUGCAGUACAUCUUUCUUUGUGCACCCUGUUUUCUAGAGAAGGACAAAUGGAAAAUUUUACACUGGUGUCCUAA